UUUGGGAGUCCUUUUUUCACUGAUUGGAGGAGGAAGAAAGCUGGAAUAGAUAUGUGGGAUGGGACAAAGCCUGAUAAGUGACUGUGGGACAUGGUCUUUCGCAGAUGGGUGGGGAACUCCAGUGAAGCUUGGUGCACAAAGUACAAGUGUUCUGUAAAAUGGUCGACUAGUGCACACUUGAUCUCGCUGAUGUAAAGGAUGCCACAUCAGGAACACUGAAUGUAAUAAACGAGGUAGGAAGACAAACACAUGAACCUCUGUCUCACCUGGAAGGACUGCUGACGAAUGUUUUAACUGUAAAAUAUAAACAUUUUGAUAUCUAUACAUAACUAAAACUCUGAUCUUGUGCU